AGAGUUUGAUCAUGGCUCAGAACGAACGCUGGCGGCAGGCCUAACACAUGCAAGUCGAGCGAGGUAGCAAUACCUAGCGGCGGACGGGUGAGUAACGCGUGGGAACGUACCCUUUGGUUCGGAAUAGCCCCGGGAAACUGGGAGUAAUACCGGAUACGGUCGAGAGACGAAAGAUUUAUCGCCGAAGGAUCGGCCCGCGUUGGAUUAGGUAGUUGGUGGGGUAAUGGCCUACCAAGCCGACGAUCCAUAGCUGGUUUGAGAGGAUGAUCAGCCACACUGGAACUGAGACACGGUCCAGACUCCUACGGGAGGCAGCAGUGGGGAAUAUUGGACAAUGGGCGCAAGCCUGAUCCAGCCAUGCCGCGUGUGUGAAGAAGGCCUUCGGGUUGUAAAGCACUUUCAGCGAGGAGGAAGGGUUAGUAGUUAAUAGCUGCUAAUUUUGACGUUACUCGCAGAAAAAGCACCGGCUAACUACGUGCCAGCAGCCGCGGUAAUACGUA
rnacentral:rRNA from 1 species